AACGAACGCUGGCGGCAGGCUUAACACAUGCAAGUCGAGCGCCCCGCAAGGGGAGCGGCAGACGGGUGAGUAACGCGUGGGAAUCUACCCAUCUCUACGGAAUAACGCAUGGAAACGUGUGCUAAUACCGUAUACGUCCUUCGGGAGAAAGAUUUAUCGGAGAUGGAUGAGCCCGCGUUGGAUUAGCUAGUUGGUGGGGUAAAGGCCUACCAAGGCGACGAUACAUAGCUGGUCUGAGAGGAUGAUCAGCCACACCGGGACUGAGACACGGCCUCGACACCGACGGGAGGCAGCAGGGGGCAAUAUUGGACAAAGGGCGCAAGCCUGAUCCAGCCAUGCCGCGUGAGUGAUGAAGGCCCUAGGGUUGUAAAGCUCUUUCACCGGUGAAGAUAAUGACGGUAACCGGAGAAGAAGCCCCGGCUAACUUCGUGCCAGCCGCCGCGGUAACAC
rnacentral:rRNA from 1 species